GCGGGACGGGGGGACCUCUAGAGAUUAGAGUUUGAUCCUGGCUCAGAUUGAACGCUGGCGGCAGGCCUAACACAUGCAAGUCGAGCGGAAACGAUGGAAGCUUGCUUCCAGGCGUCGAGCGGCGGACGGGUGAGUAAUGCAUGGGAAUCUGCCCGAUAGUGGGGGAUAACCUGGGGAAACCCAGGCUAAUACCGCAUACGUCCUACGGGAGAAAGCAGGGGAUCUUCGGGCCUUGCGCUAUCGGAUGAGCCCAUGUCGGAUUAGCUUGUUGGUGAGGUAAUGGCUCACCAAGGCGACGAUCCGUAGCUGGUCUGAGAGGAUGAUCAGCCACAUCGGGACUGAGACACGGCCCGAACUCCUACGGGAGGCAGCAGUGGGGAAUAUUGGACAAUGGGCGAAAGCCUGAUCCAGCCAUGCCGCGUGUGUGAAGAAGGCCCUCGGGUUGUAAAGCACUUUCAGUGGGGAAGAAAGCCUCGGGAUUAAUACUUCCGAGGGAGGACAUCACCCACAGAAGAAGCACCGGCUAACUCCGUGCCAGCAGCCGCGGUAAUACGGAGGGUGCGAGCGUUAAUCGGAAUUACUGGGCGUAAAGCGCGCGUAGGCGGUCUGAUCAGCCGGUUGUGAAAGCCCCGGGCUUAACCUGGGAACGGCAUCCGGAACUGUCAGGCUAGAGUGCAGGAGAGGAAGGUAGAAUUCCCGGUGUAGCGGUGAAAUGCGUAGAGAUCGGGAGGAAUACCAGUGGCGAAGGCGGCCUUCUGGACUGACACUGACGCUGAGGUGCGAAAGCGUGGGUAGCAAACAGGAUUAGAUACCCUGGUAGUCCACGCCGUAAACGAUGUCGACUAGCCGUUGGGGUCCUUGAGACCUUUGUGGCGCAGUUAACGCGAUAAGUCGACCGCCUGGGGAGUACGGCCGCAAGGUUAAAACUCAAAUGAAUUGACGGGGGCCCGCACAAGCGGUGGAGCAUGUGGUUUAAUUCGAUGCAACGCGAAGAACCUUACCUACCCUUGACAUCGUGCGAACUUGGUAGAGAUACCUUGGUGCCUUCGGGACGCACAGACAGGUGCUGCAUGCUGUCGUCAGCUCGUGUGUGAAAUGUUGGUAAGUCCCGUACGAGCGCACCCUGUCUUAUUUGCCAGCGCGUAAUGGCGGACUCUUAGAGACUGCGGUGACAAUCGGAGAGGUGGGACGACGUCAGUCAUCCAGGCCUUACGUAAGCUAACAACGGUCUACAUGGCGGCUUAAAGGUGUGCGAAGACCUCAGAGGUGGGGAC
rnacentral:rRNA from 1 species